rnacentral:rRNA from 1 species
AUGCCAUCUCCGCCGCCUUCAUUCUCAUCGCUAUGCCGCCGCCUGUUCUUCCUCCUGACCAUCCUCUUCCUGCUCUGCUCCGCGCGCAGCAGCCUGGAGGAGGUCAGGGCCCUUAGCGUCGGCGAUGAGCUGGUGGGCGAGGCCAUCCCGCUUCGCUACGGCCGGAGGCUCUACAGGCUCGCCGGGCUACGGCCGCCCGCGUGGUACGAAAUCAAGAUCUCCUACCCGACCUCCAUACCGUCCAGCUUCUCCAUUCGCCUCGUGAACGAUCCUAAUGCCGUUGAGGAUUUGGGGAGUAAGAACAGGAGGUUGCUCAACACGGAGAAGAUAGUUUUCAAGGCUGAGAGCACCAGGCCGGUUUAUGUUCUUGUCAUGGUGGAGCCUGAGGGUGUGGUUGCAAAGCCAAAUGUGCCAGAGCGAGAGCUUGCCCUGUUCAACAUUGUUUGCGACGAACUUUUGCUCGGGAUCCCACAUUUUGCCUGGUGGGUGGGAACUGCAGCAUUAAUUUGCAUUGUGCUGGCAUCAAUAGCACCAUAUUUCCUCCCGCUGUACAAGCUACUUAACUAUGAAGCUGCAGAAUUGACCAGCGUUGAUGCAGCUAAGCUUUCGUGA